GACGAACGCUGGCGGCGUGCUUAACACAUGCAAGUCGAGCGGAGCGGCGAACGGGUGAGUAACGCGUGAGUAACUGCCCCCCUCUCUGGGAUAACAGUUGGAAACGGCUGCUAAUACCGGAUAGUGGGGGAUGACUCGCGUCCUAUCAGCUUGUUGGUGGGGUAGUGGCCUACCAAGGCGACGACGGGUAGCCGGCCUGAGAGGACGACCGGCCACAUUGGGCUACGAUACGGCACAAGCUCCAGCGGGGGGCAGCAGUGGGGAAUAUUGACCAAUGGGGGAAACACUGAUGCAGCAACGCCGCGUGCGGGAUGACGGAAUUCUGGUUGUAAACCGCUUUCAUCCAUGACGCGGUGGUGGCAGAAGAAGCACCGGCUAACUACGUGCCAGCAGCCGCGGUAAUUC
rnacentral:rRNA from 1 species